GCUUGGAAGGGUCCUGGUGAUUCAAGCUACCUGAGUGCCAUCUCUGCCCUCCUACUUACGCUUCUCCAGCCUCAGCCUUCCCAGAGCCCCACACCAGGCCAGCCUCUGGGAAGUACUGGAGCAGGCCUCGGAGCAAUCCUCAUUUUCCUGCCAAGGACCCCAAGGAACAGCCAAUCCUGCAGGAAUGCAGAUGACCAGCAGCCAUGGGCUCCUAUCUGUAUGAGGCUCUGUAACCCUGUAAACCCCUCCUCUCACCCCACUGCCCAGUUCAGGUUUGGGCAAAACCCAGGGGAUGGCAUUAGGUGGAAUUGCAGGAGAAGCCCAGCUAAAAGACUAUUUGAGGUGACCCUGCAGGGGAAGGGUUAAUGUCUCUAUAUGUGGGUGCCGGCAAGGGGAGUCUGCAGCUUUAGGGACCUCCUAUAAGUGGCCAAACAGGAUCUCUUUGGGGUCAGAGUACAGACUUUAAAGUCAAAGAGACUUGGUUUUGAUCUCAGUUCUGGCACUUACAAGCUGUGUGACUUAGGACAUGUAACUUAACUUUUCUGGGCCUCGGUGUCCUCAUCUGUAAAAUGGGUGUACCAACGACACCCACACCCCAUAAAAUGAUGAGGAGUCACUGCACUAAGGCAUGUGACCUGGGACCUGACAGCCUUCUGCACUUGGUCACUCUUAUUGCUUUUUUCCUUCCCAGUCCACUGGCCCCACAGCCAAUUUGAAGUGAUUGUAGCUGUGCCCAGGCCUCAGGGACCAGGUUUCCCAGUCCCUUGCUUUGGCAACUUUGCCAGUAU
rnacentral:lncRNA from 10 species